ACAGCCCCAAGGUUUUCAAAGGCAAAAAUCCCUAAUCGAUAACAUCUAUACGGACUAUACCCAUAAAAUUUCUCUUAGGCAAAGAAACAUCCUAAUAGAUAAUCUUACCAAAUUUUUUCUUCUUAAUUCUUUGCUCCUUCUCGCACUUAGUGGUCCCUUUGCAAGGGUAGCGUUCCUUUCAAACUUUAAUUUCCAGGCUGAAAUGAAGAAGAUACAAUCAACACAACAAAGUGAAGAUGUCGGUCAAUCAGUUGAUGCAUUUGCAUCAGUCAUAGCACCUGAGAAUCCACGCCGCGUAAAAUUGUAUGGAUGUGGGGUUUCAAAGACCGCCUUAAAAAGUGGGAGAUAUUAGACCCUCUUUAAGUUCUAUAAAUGAGAUGAUGUAGCAAAAAAUAGAAGAAAUAGAAUAUAGGAUUCAUCAAAGAAUGCAGAAAAAGUUCAAUGCACAAAAGGAUGCUAUGGAAAGAGAACUACGCUUAACGUCGUCGCGCAACUUCAGCAUCUGAACCAAGGAGUACGGUUUGAUACUAACAUGUUCGCUUUCGGUGCUCGUUCACCUGGAUAAACUUACUCUGCACAACAAGCUGCUAUUAAACUAAUCAAUCUUCUAGCUACUGGUAGUAACGAUCUGGUGGAGAAAUGAUGAAAAGAAAGUUGAAAGCGAUGAUGUUCUAGACUUCACUUAAGAAGGUUUUUAAAUUAUUGCUGAAACUUUAGAUGUUCUAGGAAUCUUUUGUUAGCAUACAUUUUGAAACUUUUGUAAAAUUUAUGCAGCUUGGGUUA